rnacentral:rRNA from 1 species
GCUGAACGCUGGCUGCGUUCCUAAUACAUGCAAGUCUAGCGAACUUACUAGGAUCUUGCUCCUCUUACUUUAGCGGCGGACUGUUGAGUAACACGUGGAUAACCUACCUUUAUUACUGGGAUAACUUCGGUAAACCUUAGCUACUACCUUAUAAUAUAUUGAACCCCAUUCUUUAAUAGUGCAAUCCCUUUUUGCUUUCCCUUAUUCAUUUAUCCCCGCCGCAUUACCUAUUUGGUAAUGUAACGGCUUACCAAUCCAACGAUUCGUAGCCUACCUUACAGAGUGUUCGGCCACACUGGAACUGAGACACGGCCCAGACUCCUACGGGAGGCAGAAGUAGGGAAUCUUCCGGAAUGGGCGAAAGCAUGACGGAGCAACGCCGCGAGAGUGAAGAAGGUCUUAGGAUCGUAAAACUCUGUUAUUAGGGAAGAACAAAUGUGGAAGUAACAAUGCACGUCUUGACGGUACCUAAUCAGAAAGCCACGGCUAACUACGGG